rnacentral:rRNA from 1 species
UACGAGGGGGGCGAGCGUUGUUCGGAAUUAUUGGGCGUAAAGGGUGCGUAGGCGGUUUGGUAAGUCUCUUGUGAAAUCUAUGGGCUCAACUCAUAGUCUGCAAGGGAAACUGCCGGGCUUGAGUGUGGGAGAGGUGAGUGGAAUUUCCGGUGUAGCGGUGAAAUGCGUAGAUAUCGGAAGGAACACCUGUGGCGAAAGCGGCUCACUGGACCACAACUGACGCUGAGGCACGAAGGUCAGGGGAGCAAACGGG